rnacentral:rRNA from 1 species
GGCUUAAUGAUUAUAAUUWUAAGUCGAUCUGCCCAAUGAUUUUUAAAUUUAAUGGCUGCAGUAUAAUUGACUGUACAAAGGUAGCAUAAUCAAUUGUUUCUUAAUUAGAAACUGGAAUGAAAGAAUUAAUGAGAUAUAUACUGUCUCAUAUAUAUUUAAUUAAAUUAAAAUUUUAGUAAAAAUGCUGAAAUGAUUUUAUGGGACGAUAAGACCCUAUAGAAUUUUAUAUUAAUAUAUAAAUUUAAUUAAUUUUUUAUAUUAAUAUUUAAUUGGGAGGAUUAAUAAAUUAAUUUAACUUUAUUUUAAAUAUAAACUUUGAUUAAAGAAUUUUAUUGAUCUUAUAUUAUAAAUUAUAAGAAUAAAUUACCUUAGGGAUAACAGCGUAAUAUCUUUUUAAAGGUCAAAUUGAUAAAGAUGAUUGCGACCUCGAUGUUGAAUUAAGAUAAAUUUUAAAUGGAGAAAUUUAAUAAUUAAGUCUGUUCGACUUUUAAAAUCUUACAUGAUUUGAGUUCAAAUCGACGUGAGU